rnacentral:tRNA from 1 species
AGCAAUAUAGCUUAAGCUAGAGCUUUCUGUUUGCAAUUGAAAAGUGGGGGUAGCCCCUGUUGCUA